UACGUAGGGUGCAGGCGUUAAUCGGAAUUACUGGGCGUAAAGCGUGCGCAGGCGGUUUCUUAAGUCAGAUGUGAAAGCCCCGGGCUUAACCUGGGAACUGCGUUUGAAACUGGGAGACUAGAGUGUGGCAGAGGGGGGUGGAAUUCCACGUGUAGCAGUGAAAUGCGUAGAUAUGUGGAGGAACACCGCUGGCGAAGGCAGCCCCCUGGGUUAACACUGACGCUCAUGCACGAAAGCGUGGGGAGCAAACAGG
rnacentral:rRNA from 1 species